GAUGAACGCUAGCGACAGGCUUAACACAUGCAAGUCGAGGGGCAGCACGGUGUAGCAAUACAUUGGUGGCGACCGGCGCACGGGUGAGUAACGCGUAUGCAACCUACCUAUCAGAGGGGAAUAACCCGGAGAAAUCCGGACUAAUACCCCAUAAUAUGGGCGCUCCGCAUGGAGAGUUCAUUAAAGAGAGCAAUUUUGGUUACAGACGAGCAUGCGCUCCAUUAGCCAGUUGGCGGGGUAACGGCCCACCAAGGCGACGAUGGAUAGGGGUUCUGAGAGGAAGGUCCCCCACAUUGGAACUGAGACACGGUCCAA
rnacentral:rRNA from 1 species